UAAGACGAACCGUGCGAACGUUGUUCGGAAUCACUGGGCUUAAAGAGCACGUAGGCUGUGUGCUAAGUCGACGGUGAAAUCCUCCGGCUCAACCGGAGAACUGCCGCCGAAACUGGCAUGCUGGAGUGAGCUAGAGGGGCGUGGAACUUCCGGUGGAGCGGUGAAAUGCGUUGAUAUCGGAAGGAACACCGGUGGCGAAGGCGACGCCCUGGAGCUCAACUGACGCUGAGGUGCGAGAGCUAGGGUAGCGAACGGGAUUAGAUACCCCGGUAGUCCUAGCCGUAAACCAUGGGCACUAGAGAGUAGAUGCUCCGAUGCGUUUACUCUCGAAGCAAAAGUGUUAAGUGCCCCGCCUGGGGAGUAUGGUCGCAAGGCUG
rnacentral:rRNA from 1 species